AUUGAACGCUGGCGGCAGGCCUAACACACGCAAGUCGAGCGGAUGAAGGGAGCUUGCUCCUGGAUUCAGCGGCGGACGGGUGAGUAAUGCCUAGGAAUCUGCCUGGUAGUGGGGGAUAACGUCCGGAAACGGGCGCUAAUACCGCAUACGUCCUGAGGGAGAAAGUGGGGGAUCUUCGGACCUCACGCUAUCAGAUGAGCCUAGGUCGGAUUAGCUAGUUGGUGGGGUAAAGGCCUACCAAGGCGACGAUCCGUAACUGGUCUGAGAGGAUGAUCAGUCACACUGGAACUGAGACACGGUCCAGACUCCUACGGGAGGCAGCAGUGGGGAAUAUUGGACAAUGGGCGAAAGCCUGAUCCAGCCAUGCCGCGUGUGUGAAGAAGGUCUUCGGAUUGUAAAGCACUUUAAGUUGGGAGAAAGGGCAGUAAGUUAAUACCUUGCUGUUUUGACGUUACCAACAGAAUAAGCACCGGCUAACUUCGUG
rnacentral:rRNA from 1 species